rnacentral:misc_RNA from 1 species
CCCGAGUUGUCAGAGAAACUGCCAAGCUUCUUUGAAGCAUCUAACGCCAGUUCAGUAUUUUGUUCCUUUGGAAUUGCAAAACUAUGAGUCUCAGUUGCAGUAGUUCCUUCACCAUUACCCAAGGACUUAUCCUUUAAUUGAGGACUCUCCUGAACAGAAUUUGACAUUAUAGGCGUGCUAAGAGGAUCUGGUGGUCUAUCCUCCAAGUUUCCAUGAGUUUGAAUCUGUACAUCUUCAACCCUUUCUGAUUGAAGACGAUUUGGACUUCUUGAUUGCAAAUUUUCAUCCGCGACAGGUUCAGCUGCAUUAUUUUCCACAUCAGCAUUUCCUUUUGGAAGAACAGCAGCAUAUUCUGCUCCCUUGUUCUCACUGGUGAGCACAAUGGCAUCACAAAAUGCCCCCGCACUCUUGUUAUCAUGAUGAAUUGCAUCAGUUACCCUACCUUGAUUCCAGCUAUCAAACAGUGCUCUUGCUCUAUCCUGAACACGAGAGCUACUGUGGUCAAGAAGAUUAUUGAUAGUGAUCCAGAUACCAGAAGAAACACACCUCUCCUUGUCUAUUUUCAGUUU